GACGAACGCUGGCGGCGUGCUUAACACAUGCAAGUCGAACGGUGACGGAGAGCUUGCUCUCCUGAUCAGUGGCGAACGGGUGAGUAACACGUGGGCAAUCUGCCCCUGACUUCGGGAUAACGCUUCGAAAGAGGUGCUAAUACCGGAUACGAACUCGGCAGGCAUCUGCUGAGUUGGAAAGUUUUUCGGUCAGGGAUGAGCCCGCGGCCUAUCAGCUUGUUGGGGAGGUAACGGCUCACCAAGGCGACGACGGGUAGCCGGCCUGAGAGGGCGAGCGGCCACACUGGGACUGAGACACGGCCCAGACUCCUACGGGAGGCAGCAGUGGGGAAUAUUGCGCAAUGGGCGAAAGCCUGACGCAGCAACGCCGCGUGAGGGAUGACGGCCUUCGGGUUGUAAACCUCUUUCAGCAGGGAAGAAGCGAAAGUGACGGUACCUGCAGAAGAAGCACCGGCUAACUACGUGCCAGCCGCCGCGGUAA
rnacentral:rRNA from 1 species